UGCCUAAAACAUAGUGUUUAUGCACUAGCUCCCAUUAGAACUCCACAAUUAAGCAUGCUUGGGAUAGAGUAGUACUGGGAUGGGUGACCGCUUGAGAAGUCCUACUAUUUUACUUGC
rnacentral:rRNA from 1 species